UACGUAGGGUGCGAGCGUUGUCCGGAAUUAUUGGGCGUAAAGAGCUCGUAGGCGGUCUGUCGCGUCUGCUGUGAAAACCCGAGGCUCAACCUCGGGCCUGCAGUGGGUACGGGCAGACUAGAGUGCGGUAGGGGAGAAUGGAAUUCCUGGUGUAGCGGUGGAAUGCGCAGAUAUCAGGAGGAACACCGAUGGCGAAGGCAGUUCUCUGGGCCGGUACCGACGCUGAGGAGCGAAAGCGUGGGGAGCGAACAGG
rnacentral:rRNA from 1 species